GAGUACUCUCGUACCUGACGGACCUAACCGAAAGCCAGGCUAACUACGUGCAGCGCCGCGGUAUACGUAGUGGCAAGCGUGUCCGGAAUAUUGGGCGUAAGGCGCGCAGGCGUCCUUUAGUCUGAUGUGAAGCCCACGGCUAACCUGGGGGUCAUUGGAAAUGGGGGAUUGAGUGCAGAAGGGAGAGUGGAUCCCGUGUAGCGGUGAAAGCGUAGAAUGUGGAGGAACACCGUGGCGAGGCAUCUCUGGUCUGUAACUACGCUGAGCGCGAAAGCGUGGGGACAACAGAUUAGAUACCCUGGUAGUCCCGCCGUAACGAUGAGUGCUAAGUGUUGGGUUUCCGCCCUUUAGUGCUGCAGUAACGCAUAAGCACUCCGCCUGGGAGUCGCCGCAAGGCUGAAACUCAAAGAAUUGACGGGGCCCGCACAAGGGUGAGCAUGGGUUUAAUUCGAAGCAACCGAAGAACUUACCAGGUCUUGCAUCUUUUGCCCUCCUAGAGAUAGGGAUUUCCUUCGGGACAAAAGUGACGGUGUGCAUGGUUGUCGCAGCUCGUGUCGUGGAUGUUGGUUAAGUCCCGA
rnacentral:rRNA from 1 species